GUCUCAUGAGCUGAUCUACUCGAGCUGAUCUGCAGCAGCUGAUCUGCAUCAGGGCAUCAGCUGGUCAACUCCCCUCGCUGCAAAUGGCUACACUCAAACAGGGCGCCCUACUUAA